rnacentral:tRNA from 2 species
GAUUAAAUGGCUGAAAUAUAGGCGGUAGACUGUAAAUUUAUUUAUAAGAAUUAUUCUUUUUAAUCA